rnacentral:siRNA from 1 species
UUCUUGGAUUUCAACUUAUCA